GGGUCCGUGGUCUAGCCAGGAUAUGACAUCAGCCUGCGGAGUUGAUGGUCGUGGGUUCGAAUCCCACCGGGCCCGCCA
rnacentral:tRNA from 1 species